GGCCCGCACAAGCGGUGGAGUAUGUGGUUUAAUUCGACGCAACGCGCAGAACCUUACCCAGUCUUGACAUCCUUUGCUCGCCAUAGAGAUAUGGUUUUUCCCUUAACGGGGAACAGAGUGACAGGUGCUGCAUGGCUGUCGUCAGCUCGUGUCGUGAGAUGUUCGGUUAAGUCCGGUAACGAGCGCAACCCCUAUCCUUAGUUGCCAAUUAUGGAACUCUAAGGAGACUCCCGGUGUUAAACCGGAGGAAGAUGGGGAUGACGUCAAGUCCUCAUGGCCCUUACGACUGGGGCUACACACGUACUACAAUGGCAUCUACAAAGAGUCGCUAAAUCGCGAGAUCACGCUAAUCUCAAAAAAGAUGCCUCAGUUCGGAUUGGAGUCUGCAACUCGACUCCAUGAAGUUGGAAUCGCUAGUAA
rnacentral:rRNA from 1 species